GGUGUAUUCACUUGUAAUAUAAAAAUAGUUAUCCCCUGUAAUCUGUAUAUAGGCCGCUUUUAACGUUUCAACCUUUAAUACUGUGUUUAUUAUCUUGCAGACGUUAUGCAGUCCUGAAGUCACAAAAUACCGUAUCAAGAAUCAAAAUAUCGUAUUUGAAUUUGGUAUUGUGCAUGAGCGCAAAAUGUUUAAAGUUUAAACGUUUCAAUUAACAUCUUGUAUGUUUUUCUAGGUAAAAAUCCUUAAUUCCCGUGGUGGUACAGUCUCGAAGAAACCAAUCAGCCGAAUAUAACAGUUCAAGCCUUUAAGAACUUGAGCUUAACGUCGAGCAAUGGACUAUAUUAAUGGCUUAAUUAGUACACUUAAUUAGUACACUUAAUUAGUACACUUAAUUAGAACACUUAAUUAGAACACUUAAUUAGAACACUUAAUUGAAAUUUGCACUGGAAAUUUCGUAGUAUUUCAAAUAUAAACUAUAUAAGACUUGAAGUAUGUUUAGUAAACUGAGCUGGUUUAGACAAUCAACGUUUCCUAUAGACUCCUAAUAAUUUCGCUUAAUAUAAAACUAAACGUUUUUUAAUGACUUGCAUGUAUCUACGCCCAAAAAAGGAUAAAAUGUUGGACAGCACUUCACACAUUUGGAGAAUAUUGAUCGUUUAAACCAGCUUUAAUAUUUGUCUCUGUUUAAUAUUUGUAUUGUAUACUAUAUUUGCA